GACUCCGUGGCCUCAUUCUCUUAUCUAUUGUGGUUCUCCAAUCUAGGCCGAGGGGCUAGGGUUUCUUCAGACAAUCAGGGCCCAAGGUUAAGAUUUCUCUAGAAAUUCAAGGCUCGAGUUUAUGAUUUGCUAGAGAAAAUUUUGCUUCUGUCUUGUUCUAGGAAUUCAUUUUUACAUUCGCAACUAUGUCGACGAUGCUAGCUUCCUGAGAAUUACUAGCACAGUUUGGGUUUAGGGCUUUUCGAUGGCCAAUCGGCUUCGCAGGCCACCGUCAAUGGAGACAAUACACUCACGAGAUCUACGAUGUCGUCCAUUGGGAUCGGAAGAGGAUGUGUUUUUGCUUAGGGAAACACAUCGAGAAUGUACGAGAUCCCGAUGGUGCCGUCCGAGGGUUCCUCAUUCUUGGCGUGAUGAUAGACUUGUGUUAAUAAGGGUGAGCAUCUUUGCCCUAUUCUUUUGUUCACACCUUUUUCUUGUAUUAAUUCUAGGGUUCCUUUGCAUGAUAGAAGAACGCUUACGCGGUGAUACCUGAUUGGCUUUAAAUCUAAUAGUUGUAGAAAUAAUAGCAUUUAAACAAUAAAUGAAGUUUAUGAAGUGGAGUCAAAUUAGGGUUUUUCAAUGUAGGUGUGCAUCAGACGCAUUUUUUAUAGAUUUGGGAUCGGAGAGAGCAGAGAGCGUUAUUUUGACCACCAACUUCAUAUCCUCCCUUAUUUUGAGGACAAGAAAUUGGUGGUGAAAAGGGUGAGCACUAAUGUGUUUUCCUUUUCUAUUUUUCUGUUUAUAUUUCCAACUUUAUCUCGAUCAAGAGUGAAAAAAAUGGGAAAAAGGAGAAAAACCUUUUUUUCAUUAUCUACAUCUCAAGUGUAGUUAAAUUUCUGCUGAGUCCAAAUUUAAGUUUCUUUGAGCCCAUUGUACAAACUAUGUAUUUUUUAAAGAGGUUUUGAUUUUGCAUUUUCUUUUGUAACUUGUGUUUGAAAAAACGUAUGAAUCUGGACGUUUCAAGGAAAUUCACUUUCUAAAUCCUUUAUUGCAAAGGAUGCUCCAAUAAAUUUCUCAUACAGGCACGUUUAUUUUAUACUACCACCACUUGUUCCUGUUUCCUUACAAUUUGUAGAAUGAUCUUAUGUCUGCUCUUUAAGCCUUAUGAUAGUUUCUUAUGUCUUAAACUUUAAAGCAUAACAAGAUGUGGUACUUCUGUAGAAUUUUGUGACAAGCCCGUGGGAAGGAAGAGAGAAGCCAUAGUAAAAGGACCUUCAUCCUUCCAUUCAUAUUUUUCCCCUCUCUCUCUCUCUCUCUCUCUCUCUCUCACACACACACACACACAUGCAGACAGUGACAUUUCAAUACAUAUAGGACUUUGUAAAAAUAUUCAAUUUAUCAUUUAAGAUUAAAUCAUACCAUUAUUUAUAUAGGAUAUUAACCCUGCUUUCCUUAAGCAUUUCAUUCAACUUCCUAGAGUUUGUUAGGGGCAACUGAAGAACCUCUGGGUUUGAGUUAUUCAAAUAGAUCCUAUCUUAUGUGGCGCCAAUGGGUAACCCAUUGCCCUACCUGCUUUACAAGUGGUGCCACAACACAGGGACAAGUAUGAUUUGAUGGAAGUGUAAUUUCCAAAAUUCAUAUGAAUGACAAAAAAAAAAACGAUGAUCUCUUUGCAUUGCAGGCUCCCUAAUA